rnacentral:misc_RNA from 1 species
AAGUCGUAACAAGGUUUCCGUAGGUGAACCUGCGGAAGGAUCAUUAACAGAGAUCGGCGCCGUCCCCCUUGUGGGGACGCGCGACCCCUCCCAACCCCUUGAAUCGUUACACCCGACCUGGUUGUUCCCGCCGUCCGCGGUGGGGACUCCAUACAAAACUCAUGUCUUGAAACAUUGCUGUCUGAGUCGAUAUGACAAAUCAAUCAAAACUUUCAACAACGGAUCUCUUGGUUCUG